rnacentral:lncRNA from 1 species
UUUCCGAUAGACCCCCGGUUCAAGAAUGAGAAUAGUAUAUCAAGACCGUAAUGAAAUAUGAGACAUAGUGGAUAACAUAAACAGAAAUAAGAGAUAAGAAAUAAUAACAAUAAAUAUCAGAGAAUUCCGAAAUAAGAGAAAAUACGAGCAAUACACAAUAAAUAUAAGAAAAUGGAUACUCACCCAGUAGUGACAUACUCUCACAAUACCUAAGACACUC